CGGGCGGCCCUCGGCGGGCCCAGUCCCGGGGGCAGGUGUUCUUCCGAGAACCUUCUCCCGACGCCAGAAAGAAAGAAAGAAAGAAAGAAAGAAAGAAGAAAAGAAAAAGGAUUACCACUGUGCUGUAUAUCAUCCACUAACUGAAGAGAAGAUGGCAGAUGCGUGAAAGUUAAAAUUCAAGCAGGCUACCAGAAAGCUCUAACUGCAGAUGACACAGGGGCAUGUGAAUGCCGCAUGUGGCUUCCUGGAGCACCGUUCUGUGUAGUCACACGUGUCCGUGUUAGCCAGCCUGGACUGCUGUGUUACGUUUGCCCCUCAGUUCCUGCGAUGCAGUGCUGGCAAAGUCCAACUACAGCUGACGUGAAAUGGAGCAUCAAGAUGCAGGACGGUCUCUGUAGGGAUGUCAUGGAGAAAGAAAUCAGUGUUGCUGAGAUGGUUAUAAGCCUUUCUUUUGAUGUGAAUGUUCUUUUUCUUUUUUUAAGAUUUUUUAAAAUUUAUUCACUCAUGAGAGAGGCAGAGACACAGGCAGAGGGAGAAACAGGCUCCCCUCGGGGCCAGAUGCAGGACUGGAUCCCAGGACCCCAGGGUCACACCCUGAGCCAAGGGCAGACACUCAACCACUGAGCACCACCGCCCCCCCCAUAUGCCCCUGAAGAGAAAGGUCUUAAUUUGAAACUUGUUUUUUAAAUUCCUGCCAUUCUGAGUUCUAAUCCUAUAGAAUACUCUUAAAGAAAUACGAUUUCUAGAGACUUCCCACCCUAUAUAUUUGCUAAGUAAAAUACAUACAGCAUCUCAUAUGGUAUUUGCCUAAAUGUUAUUUCCUUUCUUUCUCCUUCUUAACAGAACCAAGGGUGCAAGGGGGGAGGAAGUUCAUACUUUGACCUGCUUUGGCCACCAUGUGGCUAUGGCUCAGCUUUCUGUUGGGUGGUUAUGAAGACUGGAGAACAGUGGGAAGGAGGCAGGCUAGUUCAGUGUCUCUGCUCUAAGGAGAAGGUGACAUCUGAUUUCAGAAUAUUUGUAGAACGUGAUGGCUACUGUUAUGUCACCUUGACUGGUUUGGUGGGGCCAGAUGACUGAUAAAAUGUUGUCUCUGGGUGUGUCUGUGAGGGUGUUUCAGGAAGAGAUGGUUCUUGGGUUUAGUAGAUAGAGAUCUGCUCUCAGCCAUGUGGGAGGACAUCAUCUAAUCCUUUAAGGACCUGAGUGGGGAAAAAGGGUGAAGGAAGGAUCAAUGUCCCAUCUCUCUCCUUGAACUGGGACAUCUUUUCCUGCUUUUGGUUCUUGGGCCUUUGGACUCUGGAGCUUAUACCAGUGACACCUCCAGUUCUCAGGCUUUGGCCUCAGACUGAUCAUACCACUGGCUUCUCAUCUCAUUGCAGAUGGCAGAUUAUUGGACUUCUCAGCCUCUGCAACUGUGUAAGCAGAUUCCUACAGGUUCAGCGAGAAAAGGAACCUCAUAAUCAACCAUACAUCUGUAAUGCCUCUUACAGUGUGUGAUGUCUCAGCCAACCGUUACCACUGACUUCCAUGGAUUACGGUACCUGCCACUCUGGCUUCAUUCUAACGUAUCUGAUGGCCGGAGCUUGAGCAGCCAGUGCACAGUGAGGAAGCUGUGAUGGAAGAAUAAGUUAUUAGAAGAAUUCAAGAAGCAUCUCUAUGUGAAGGGCUGGUUGUGAUGUUGAGAUGAGAAUGGGCACGUAAAAUACUUUGCAUGAGGCCCAGCACAGUGAACAAUGGAAGCUGAUUGGAUAAUUUGGGAUCCACAGGCAUACUCUGUUUUUCGAAUCCUCAUCAUAACAGAAAGGAGCAGAACUUCGGGUUCUGGGAGUUGUCUCUUCCUCUCGGUCACUUGAUGUGCAAAUCAAAGCAGGAGGCAAUUGCUGGUUUUUCAUUUUUAAUGUUUCUGAGCUUUGCUCUAUCAGACCUACAUGUUAUCAUGGCUUUGACUUUUUUUUUUUUUUUUUAGAAAAAGAAAAACACGAGCAAUCUAAUAAACAGAUUGUGCCUCCUACUUGGGAUUUUUUAAAAAUAAUUUUAUCAGCUCAUAUUGUGUUUUGAAUUAAAGUUGAAGCAGUAAAUUUA